rnacentral:rRNA from 1 species
UACGGAGGGGGGGAGCGUUAUUCGGAAUUAUUGGGCGUAAAGGGCGCGUAGGCGGCUGUACAAGUCAAAGGUGAAAUCCCUCGGCUCAACUGAGGAACUGCCUUUGAAACUGUACGGCUUGAGGCCGGGAGGGGGUAGCGGAAUUCCCAGUGUAGCGGUGAAAUGCGUAGAUACUGGGAGGAACACCAGUGGCGAAGGCGGCUACCUGGACCGGUUCUGACGCUGAGGCGCGAAAGCGUGGGGAGCAAACAGG